AGAAGGUUUGUGCAGUCAAAAUUUCGGAAAUGUAAAUAAUUUGAACAACAUAUAGCAGAGUAAAGAUGCCAACUGCAGGCAGAGCUAGUGCAAGCGAGGAGAUAGAGAGUACAUGUUACUUUCCCUGCACAGAAAUAGUCAAUGUCGUUGAGUUCAGUCCUUAUCAGAACACUUCAAGAUUGAUCGCAUAUGGUGGAGAUAACCGGAUAUGUGUUGGAUCCUGUUUGUUUGACGAUGAAAAUUUACAGGAUUUCCAAUUUGAACACCAGGUUGAUAUAUUACAUGGUGCACGAGUGGAGGCCAUCUCUUGGUCACCUCAGAGCUCGAUUGACCAAUACCCUGGGUUGUUGAGAUUUUGUACUGCUGGUGGAGAUAAAAAGUUAAGAUGUUUUUCUGUUGAUCUGAAAAAUAACUCCACAGUUCAAAUGUUGGAUGGUCAUGAAAGUUACAUAAAUGAUUGUGUUUUCAAUCCAAUACAAGGCAGCGCCAUUGCAAGUGUUGGUGGUA